rnacentral:rRNA from 1 species
AUCGAACGCUGGCGGCAGGCCUAACACAUGCAAGUCGAGCGGUAGAGAGGUGCUUGCAUCUCUUGAGAGCGGCGGACGGGUGAGUAAUGCCUAGGAAUCUGCCUAGUGGUGGGGGAUAACGUUCGGAAACGGACGCUAAUACCGCAUACGUCCUACGGGAGAAAGCGGGGGGAUCUUCGGACCUCGCGCCAUUAGAUGAGCCUAGGUCGGAUUAGCUAGUUGGUGAGGUAAUGGCUCACCAAGGCGACGAUCCGUAACUGGUCUGAGAGGAUGAUCAGUCACACUGGAACUGAGACACGGUCCAGACUCCUACGGGAGGCAGCAGUGGGGAAUAUUGGACAAUGGGCGAAAGCCUGAU